rnacentral:rRNA from 1 species
CUUCGGGAAACCGGAGCUAAUACCGGAUAAUAUUUUGAACCGCAUGGUUCAAAAGUGAAAGACGGUCUUGCUGUCACUUAUAGAUGGAUCCGCGCUGCAUUAGCUAGUUGGUAAGGUAACGGCUUACCAAGGCAACGAUGCAUAGCCGACCUGAGAGGGUGAUCGGCCACACUUGAACUGAGACACGGUCCAG